UAACUCUUUCCCACUGCAUGUGAACUCUGAUCUGGAGAGCUUUCCAACAGGCGAUUGCUUCCGCUCCAAAGGCUGAGGAAACCCUUUGAUGAACCUCCGAACAAGAUAAGAGAACUGAACCCUCUUUAUCUCUGGCCACAACUCCGAUGGCCGUUUUAUUUUGUCCUCUUUCAUAUGCUGCGUCAAAAUUGAUUUUGACAAAACUGUCCAUUGGUUUUUUCCAUUUUUUAACAGUUAUGGAAGUUUGUCGACUAUUUUUACCAACUGAAUCUAAC
rnacentral:lncRNA from 1 species